CCUCCAACGGACUUGACCACUAAAAGCUAAGCACACCCCCGGCCAUGGCGCUCGCGUCCACCUCCGCCACCGCGCCCGCUGCCGUGCUCAAGACCCCGUUCCUCGGCGCCAGGCGCGCGCUCGCCAAUGCCACCGCGCCCAAGCCCGCGCCGCGCGCUCCUCGCCGUCGCCGCGGCCGCCGCCAAGAAGUUGUGGAUCCCCGCCUUCAAGAGCGACGCCGAGUUCAUCAACCCGCCCUGGCUCGACGGAUCGCUCCCUGGCGACUUCGGGUUCGAUCCGCUGGGGCUGGGUAAGGACCCGGCGUUCCUCAAGUGGUACCGGGAGGCGGAGCUGAUCCACGGGCGGUGGGCGAUGGCCGCCGUGCUGGGCAUCUUCAUGGGCCAG